UGGGGAAUAUUGGACAAUGGGGGAAACCCUGAUCCAGCAAUGCCGCGUGAGUGAUGAAGGCCUUAGGGUUGUAAAGCUCUUUCGGCGGGGAAGAUGAUGACGGUACCCGCAGAAGAAGCCCCGGCUAACUUCGUGCCAGCAGCCGCGGUAAUACGAAGGGGGCUAGCGUUGUUCGGAAUUACUGGGCGUAAAGGGCGCGUAGGCGGCGCAUUAAGUCAGGUGUGAAAGCCCUGGGCUCAACCCAGGAAUAGCACUUGAUACUGAUGCGCUUGAAUUCGGGAGAGGAUGACGGAAUUCCCAGUGUAGAGGUGAAAUUCAUUGAUAUUGGGAAGAACACCAGUGGCGAAGGCGGUCAUCUGGCCCGUAAUUGACGCUGAGGCGCGAAAGCGUGGGGAGCAAACAGGAUUAGAUACCCUGGUAGUCCACGCCGUAAACGAUGAGUGCUAGACGUCGGGGGGUUGCCGUCUCGGUGUCG
rnacentral:rRNA from 1 species